rnacentral:misc_RNA from 1 species
AAGUCGUAACAAGGUUUCCGUAGGUGAACCUGCGGAAGGAUCAUUACCGAGAGACGGGGUCUAACCGGCCCCAACUCUUCACCCGUGUUCACACGACUAUGUUGCUUUGGCUGGCGGGCAUUUCGCCCAAAUGCCAGCCCGAGGUAUAACUAAAAUUCUCUAUUAGUGAAGUCCGAGUCGAUAUUCAAUAACUAAAACUUUCAACAACGGAUCUCUUGGUUCUG